rnacentral:rRNA from 1 species
ACGAACGCUGGCGGCGUGCCUAAUACAUGCAAGUCGAACGGUCUUUCUAUGGAAGCUUGCUUCCACUGAGAAGAUAGUGGCGAACGGGUGAGUAACACGUGGGUAACCUGCCCAUAAGAGGGGGAUAACAUCCGGAAACGGGUGCUAAUACCGCAUAGUUUUCUUGAUCGCAUGAUCGGGAAAGGAAAGACGGCCUUUGUGCUGUCGCUUAUGGAUGGACCCGCGGCGUAUUAGUUAGUUGGUGAGGUAAUGGCUCACCAAGACGAUGAUACGUAGCCGACCUGAGAGGGUGAUCGGCCACAUUGGGACUGAGACACGGCCCAAACUCCUACGGGAGGCAGCAGUAGGGAAUCUUCCGCAAUGGACGAAAGUCUGACGGAGCAACGCCGCGUGAGUGAAGAAGGUUUUUCCGGAUCGUAAAACUCUGUUGUCAGAGAAGAACAAGUUGGAGAGUAACUGCUCCAGCCUUGACGGUAUCUGACCAGAAAGCCACGGCUAACUACGUGCCAGCAGCAGC